ACGGAGGAUGCAAGCGUUAUCCGGAAUCAUUGGGCUUAAAGGGCGUGUAGGCGGGAUAAUAAGUUAGUGGUGAAAGCCUACAGCUUAACCGUAGAACUGCCAUUGAUACUGUUAACCUUGAGUACAAUUGAAGUGGGCGGAAUGUGUCAUGUAGCGGUGAAAUGCUUAGAUAUGAGGCAGAACACCGAUGGCGAAGGCGGCUCACUAAACUAUAACUGACGCUGAGGCGCGAAAGCGUGGGGAGCGAACAG
rnacentral:rRNA from 1 species